UGUCUCCUCCAUGUCUCUUCUUGUUGAUAUGGAUUCAAGCCCGCCUCUUUCGCGGGCUUUUUUUU
rnacentral:ncRNA from 1 species